AAUGGUGGCACAGAGGGGGGAUUUCGUGGAAGCCUGAAGCACCAACAUGCCCAAGGCUUUCCCUUGGGGAAGGCGGCCUUGCAGCAACAUUCAUUGGGAAGAGCCGCCCCAAAAAGAGCAAAUAUUGGGGCACUGUGGGGAAGGGCCGAAACAAUGGCCAGCAAGUGUGUAGUUAGUUCUCUGUGGAGCCAUUGCAUGCCUUUCGGACCCAAAGUACCAAAUGUCCUGAACGCCAAAACAAUACUAAACAAAGUGCCCUAGUUUAUGGAUGGAAAUAUACUGUAUAUUUACCUCAUUAGGGGACGCCAUUUAAACCGAGGGGCCAAAAUGCCAGACACCAUUAACCGAAGGGUCGGAAAUGGACGGUGCGCCAAAAGAGCAGCACAAAUGGCCACGUAUGCAGUGGACAGGCUCCCUUUGGCCCAGGUAUUUGGAGAAGCCACUCAGAAAAAGGGCUCAAGAGCCGAGUCCAUCGACGCACAUCUUCACCUCACAAGAGAACACUAUUCCAAACCCGAGGCGCCAAAAUGGCGGAAGGCUUCCGCUUGGGGAAGAAGAACGGCCAAAAUGGCUACGACUUAAGCUCCCUGUGGGAUUUCUUUAGCCUCCAUUUUCCCUCAGGCACCAAUUCUGAGCAUCUCUUCGUACUUCAUGAGGGGACACUAUUCAAACAGGCGGGAAAAUGGUGGAGGAUUCCACUUGGGGAAGAAGGCCUCAACGAGGCUGUGAGGCGAUGAACCAGAAACAGAGAGAAGCCCAAAAGGGCAGCUAUUGAAGGGGACAGCAAAAAUGGCCAACAUUUAAUAUAUAUACUAGCUUGGGUUCUUGGCGAUGCCCGGGUUAUUUGAAAAGGGUAUUGUUUGUUUUGGAUGUGAGGUAAUACCAGUGUGGUUGUUAUUGAAAGGAAUAGUCAUAGUGCCUUUAUAGUCAUCCAUUACACUAUUUCUUAGAAAAAAGCCAGUCUGCUUUCGUUUUUUAUGAAUGCUCUCAUUAGAAAAUGCGCAAGGAUAUGGUGAACUGCAAUUCCCAAAAAUCUUGGGCCAAUUCUCCCAAAACUCCACCAGUAUUCACAGUUGGCCAUCUUGGGUCUGUGUGACAAGUUUGGCCCAGAUCUGUCACUUGCUGGGUUCCGUGUUCUCUGAAUACAGGUGAACUAUAACUUUCUGGUGCCAACGUCAAUCACCCGCAAAACCUGCCAGUAUUCACAGUUGGCCAUCUUGGGUUUGUGUGCCAUGUUUGGUCCAGAUCCGUCACUUGCUGGGUUCUGUGUUUUCUGAAUACGGGUGAACUAUAACUCUCCGAUGCCAAGGUCAAUCACCCCAAAGUCCACCCCAAAGUUGAUAGACAUAUAUCCUGUCACUCUCACAAGGGGACGCCAUUUGAGCUUCUGGCAACAAUUUGUCCCUCCUUCUCUGAGGCGCCAUUUUCCUUCAUGAGGGGACACUAUUCAAACCUAAGGCACCAAAAUGGCGGAGGUUUCCACUUGGGGAAGAAGGAGAGCCAAAAUGGCUGCACUGCAAGUUCCUUGUGGUGCCUUUUGACCUCCAUUUUCCCUGAGGCACCAAACCAGAUAUUUGGGGAGGCCACUGAGUCAAAAGGCUCAAGAGCUUAGUUCCUGGACGUACAUUUUUCCCUCACGAGAGAACACUCUUCAAAACCUGUGGCGCCAAAAUGGCGGAAGGCUUUCACUUGGGGAAGAAGGACAGCCAAAAUGGCUAUGAUUUAGGCUCCCUGUGAUUCUUUCAAAGCUUCCAUUGGAUCCUGAGACACCAAAGCAGAUAUUUGGGGAGGCCGCUGAGUCAAAAGGCUUGAGGGUUGUGUUCCUUGGGAGACAUUCGGGCCUCCUGAGGGGCCUGUCCCGUCCUGGGCCUCCUUUGCGGAAGGACAACCAGGAGAGGCCGCCAUUGCCAUGGAUCCUCGGCAGGUGCCGCCACUGGAAGGUGCGGCCAUUUCCUCAGGAAGAGGAACCCCUCCCGGACCGUCCUUUGAGAGGAAAAGGAGGAAGGAGAAGAGGAGCUGCAUCUCUCCCAGAGGCAUCAGGAGCAACAGAAACUAGGCCGCCAUGGGGAAAGGGCCACUCAACCCUCGCUGCAGCAUUCGCUUGAUCUCACCAAAAGACACCUUUUGAGUUUAAGGAAGCCCAAGGCCCGGCCUUCUCUGGGAGAAGAAGAGGCCUCACGGAAAAAAGAAAUACAUACGAAUAUAUCAAGGCCUGGAUCCAGUUGCCAGUCCCAGCUAGAGAAGACCAACUGAACAAACUGCUGAACGCUGGAAUUGCUGGAUGCGCCUCCAAAGUCACCAGAAGAUUCUCCUCCGUUUGUAUCUGUGGAACAAUUAACACCUCAACCCCUCCGUACAAGAAAGAGCAAUCAAUCAAACAAAGAAACACAGUGUUUUGUGAUAUGGAUGCUGGUGAAGGACGGCGCACAGAAUUUUCAUCCAGUGGAAAAACCCCGAUUCCAUCCGUUUCCGAGGAAAGGGAAUGCGUUGAGGCUCAGUGCCGAUGUCUGGAAGCAGAGCCAAGAAAGGUACAGAAACCUGUUUUGCAAAGUGGAAUAAUAAGGAUUGGAAGAGGUGUCGCGAACCUCCCCGCUGGUCUUUAUCGGGGAAAUCGGAUUGGAUUAAUUUUGCCAAUUAAUUUGAAAUGUGUGGAUCAAUGGGUGAUAGAUGACAGUGCCUUGCCUUUUCCUCCCUCUCUCCCUCCCUUUCUCGUAUGUGUGUUAAUAUGAGUGCAGCCUCUAUCUCCGCACGGCCGGCUGACAUGCGGGGGCUUUGUGUGUCCAUCCAGUCCGUGCGCCGGCCACAAAGCUACUGAUGUGCGGACAUGCCUGCAAACACCAGGAACCAGCCGUUAUUUGGGCCUCCGCUGGCUUCUCGGCUCUUUGGCCCCGCAUUGAAGGCAGUCCACUUGGGCUUUUAAAUUAACUUUACACAAACCUUGCGCCUUCUCUCUUGCGACGCCACAAAGGCCCAGAAUUAUAUGUUAUCAAAAAGCCUCUGGGAAAAACCUCACCCACUGGCCCUGUGUCCCCUCCUUUCCCUGCACUUCGCUGCUUUAAUUUAUAAGUUUGCUGGAUGAUGCCUUCCCCUCACAUAGGACUGACCGCUGUACGUCUCUUAUAAAGAAACACAGGGAUGCGUGGAGAGAGAUGGGCAUUGCAGAAAGUGAUGCUUUCCCAUUGAGCACAUACAGCUUGGACUGGGGGGUGGGGUGGGGGGAGCAGUUAAGAAAUACAUUCUAAUGGACAACCCCCUCCCCCCUUAUCACCUUGGAGGAGCACCUUCUGAGUUGGAAAAGGGUUGGUGUGUGAUUGAUCUUGGUGAUUAUUUGCAACAAAAGAGAGAUGGAGAGAGAGGUUUUGUUUGUGUGAAUCCGUGGUCUCCUUGAACUCCUCAGCCCUGUUCUCUCAAGCAGAAGCCAGGCGCUGGGAAGGAAAGGAGGGAAGCCAGGGCUCUGGGCAGCAAGGCCUCUUCAAAGCCCGAUGGCUGGGAGGCCGGAGCCAGGGGAGGCGCUGGAUCUGUGGCCCAGAAUGGCACCAAGAGCAGAAAUGGUACUAAGGGGCAGGGACUGAACUUCCUGCGAAUCGGGGAGGUGUCUCCCUUUCAGAAAUAACUGGAACCUAUUGGCACCAAUGAGAGAUCAUGCGGAGUUUUGGAGUUUGAUGUCAUCUGUACACAGAUUAUGUCCUUUCCACUUGCUACUAAGGAAGCUGUUCAGGUCCUGAACUGGUGCUUGGCUGCUGUGACAGUCUGGAUGAGGGCAAACAAAUUGAAAUUGAAUCCAGACAAGACAGAGGUCCUCCUGGUCAGUCGUAAGGCCAAACAGGAUAUAGGGUUACAGCCUGUGUUGGAUGGAGUUACACUCCCCCUGAAGGUACAGAUUCGCAGCUUGGGAGUGAUCCUGGUCUCAUUGCUGAGCCUGGAGCCCCAGGUUUCAGAGGUGGCCGGGGGAGUUUUUGCACAAUUAAAACUCGUGCGUCAGUUGCCAUCUUGGGAAGUCAGACUUGGCCACGGUGGUCCAUGCUCUGGUUAUUUUGAAUAUAUUACUGCAAUGCGCUCUACAUGGGGUUGCCUUUGAAGACUGUUCAGAAGCUCCAAAUGUUCCAACCAGCAGCAGCCAGAUUGCUCACUGGAGCAGUGUACAGGGAGCAUACAACCCUCCUGCUACGCCAGCUCCACUGGCUGCCAGUCUGCUACCGAGCACAAUUCAAAGUGCUGGCUUUAGCUUAUCAAGCCCUAAACGGUUGCGGCGUAGCUUCCCUGUCUAAACGUAUCUCUCCCUAUGAACCAUCUCAGAGAAUAAGAUUAUCCGGGGAGGCCCUGCUGUCAGUCCUGCCUCCUUCGCAGGCACGACUGGUGGGAACGAGACAGGGCCUUCCUUCUCAGUGGUAGCCCCUUGGCUAUGGAACUCCCUCCGAAGUGACAUUAGAUCAGCCCCUUCUCUCCUAGCCUUUAGAAGAAAGGUAAAAGCUUGGUUGUGGGAUCAGGCUUUUAGUGGAUAGGGCAGGACAAUGACAGCUUUGGAAUAUAUGGAACGACUAUGGAUGGUGUGAUUUUUAUGAAAUGUAAUGUUUUUAAAUGUUUAAUAUGUUUGAUUUUAAUCAAAUUUUAAUUUUAAUUUUAAAUUGUAUAUGUUUUAAGGCAUUGAAUACUUGCCUCUAUGUAAGCUGCCUUGAGUCCCCUGCGGGGUAGAGAAAGGCAGGGUAUAAAUAGAGUAAAUAAAUAAAUAAAUAAAUAAAUAAAUAAAUAAAGGCCUUUUGAAGGCUCCCUCCAAGGGAUGGCCUGGUCCAGGUGCUAUAUUUCUAAGGAAGAUCUGACCUGGGGCAAUGUUCAUACUGCGGCUGCAUUGGUUAAGAGGGCCCAGCAGGGAUUUAUGGUCUGAGACUUUUAAGGAACCAGCAAUUGAAUGGCAAACUGCUGGUGACCAUCUACUGUUGUACUAUAGAGAGUGCUCUAACCUCUUUCAGCUGCUGCAUAUAGUUUAUAAUUCCUGCUGCCUGAAGAAAGCUCAAAUUUUUCUUAAGGAUCCAUCUCACCCUGGAUAUUAUUAUUUUCUAUUAUUAUUACCAUCUAGCAGAUAAAAGCAAAGACAAAUAAGUUGAGAGAGAGCUUUUAUCCUAGAGCUGUGACUAUACAGACCUCUAUGGUUUCACACUGAUGUAGCAUAGCGAUUAGAAUGUGGAAGAAUAGGUGCUUAGUUUUGUAAUUCUAUACAUAUAAUGUGGAUUGGGGAUGGCAUUUAAUCUUGUUUUACGAUGUACAAUGACAAGACAAGUUAUAUUCCAUUUAGGCAGGGAGCCAGCCUGAGUGGCAAGCUCUGGCCCUUCCCAAUGGCCUUCCAGGGUCUUGGGUGCUGAGGCUGUCCCUCCCUCCGGCCUCCUUUCCUGCCUUCUCUCUGCCACGCAAGGGGCUCCAAGGCAAUUGUUUGGUGGCUGGAUUUGGCUCAAGGGGUCUCCAUUUGCUGAAAUGUCUGGCUUAGUUUUCCUUUUGAGUUGUUGUUGUGACCGUGGUUUCUUCCCCACUGCCACCAUUUCAUACAGUGUAUUGGGAGGGGGGGAGGGGGCAGAGGAACACAUGUACGUAUUACAACUAAUGUGGAAAGGGCACGUGCAGCCCAGGAGGAAUGGUGUGCCCCCUGCCACAGGAUGGGGGAACAGCGGCCCCAAAGACUACCCUUCUGCAGGCAGUCCGCGGGAGCCGGAUUUCUGCGGGGGGCUUACGUAUUCAGGGUCAUGGUGUGUGUGUGUGUUGAAAACUAUCUGGUGAAAGGAGACCAAAGAGAGAUCCUCAGGGAAGGUCUAAUAAGGCAUGAGAGGCCACAGGAUGUAUGUCAGAGACACCCUUACGGACUUCAACUCCUAUAAUUCCUAUCAACUGGUAGGCUGCUAGGAAUUGUGGGAGUUGAAACCUAGAACACUUGGAGGGCCAAAGUUUGCCCAUGCCUGCCCUAGGGGCCAUAAAAAGGGCAACAAGUGUGGCAGAAACAGACACAGCAAACCCACAGAGAAAUGGAACUUGGCCCAUUGUGAGAUCAGACAUGGUUGCAGCUCUGAGAGCAGUGGAACUCUCCUGUUAAAGUAAAUGGGUUCUCACGCAUUCAGCUUUUUUUUAAACCCCAGGUUCUUCCCAUCCUGAAUAUGCAGAAUCUGCCCAUGUGGACAAAUUCUCAAACUCUAGCCACAAAUAAAUGCUCAUCUAUCGCAA